AUGGGUGCACCUCCGGCCGUCAUGGCUUCUCACACACAUUCCCAUGAAGAUGCCGUUGAAGAUCUUGCCAACAUCGUCGGAGCUUCACAUGAUGCGGUGCGUGAUGAGGAGAGGGAGGAAGAUUCAUCUUCGGAGGCGGAAGAGUCGUCUUCGGAAGAUGAGGACGAAGACGAAGAAGAGGAAGAUGAAGAUUGA
rnacentral:rRNA from 1 species